rnacentral:rRNA from 1 species
CCUACGGGAGGCAGCAGUGAGGAAUAUUGGUCAAUGGACGCAAGUCUGAACCAGCCAUGCCGCGUGCAGGAAGACGGCUCUAUGAGUUGUAAACUGCUUUUGUACGAGGGUAAACGCAGAUACGCGUAUCUGUCUGAAAGUAUCGUACGAAUAAGGAUCGGCUAACUCCGUGCCAGCAGCCGCGGUAAUACGGAGGAUUCAAGCGUUGUCCGGAUUUAUUGGGUUUAAAGGGUGCGUAGGCGGUCGGAUAAGUUAGAGGUGAAAUCCCGAGGCUCAACUUCGGAAUUGCCUCUGAUACUGUCGGGCUAGAGUUUAGUUGCGGUAGGCGGAAUGUAUGGGGUAGCAGUGAAAUGCAUAGAGAUCAUACAGAACACCGAUUGCGAAGGCAGCUUACCAAACUACGACUGACGUUGAGGCACGAAAGCGUGGGGAGCAAACAGGAUUAGAUACCCGUGUAGUC